rnacentral:rRNA from 1 species
UGUGAACUCGAAGAGUAGGGCGGGACACGUGGUAUCCUGUCUGAAUAUGGGGGGACCAUCCUCCAAGGCUAAAUACUCCUGACUGACCGAUAGUGAACCAGUACCGUGAGGGAAAGGCGAAAAGAACCCCGGCGAGGGGAGUGAAAAAGAACCUGAAACCGUGUACGUACAAGCAGUAGGAGCCUCUUUAUGGGGUGACUGCGUACCUUUUGUAUAAUGGGUCAGCGACUUAUAUUCUGUAGCAAGGUUAACCGUAUAGGGGAGCCGCAGGGAAACCGAGUCUUAACUGGGCGUUAAGUUGCAGGGUAUAGACCCGAAACCCGGUGAUCUAGCCAUGGGCAGGUUGAAGGUUGGGUAACACUAACUGGAGGACCGAACCGACUAAUGUUGAAAAAUUAGCGGAUGACUUGUGGCUGGGGGUGAAAGGCCAAUCAAACCGGGAGAUAGCUGGUUCUCCCCGAAAGCUAUUUAGGUAGCGCCUCGUGAAUUCAUCUUCGGGGGUAGAGCACUGUUUCGGCUAGGGGGUCAUCCCGACUUACCAACCCGAUGCAAACUACGAAUACCGAAGAAUGUUAUCACGGGAGACACACGGCGGGUGCUAACGUCCGUCGUGAAGAGGGAAACAACCCAGACCGCCAGCUAAGGUCCCAAAGUCAUGGUUAAGUGGGAAACGAUGUGGGAAGGCCCAGACAGCCAGGAUGUUGGCUUAGAAGCAGCCAUCAUUUAAAGAAAGCGUAAUAGCUCACUGGUCGAGUCGGCCUGCGCGGAAGAUGUAACGGGGCUAAACCAUGCACCGAAGCUGCGGCAGCGACACUAUGUGUUGUUGGGUAGGGGAGCGUUCUGUAAGCCGU